AGGACCUAUGAGUGGAAUGGGCAUGAAUAUGGGCAUGGAGGGGCAGUGGCACUACAUGUAACCUUCACCUAGGUAACCAAUGGCAAAGCCAGGGGGAAGGCUGCAAAGUAUGCCAGGGGAUUAUGUGUCUCGGGGUAGUCCAAUGGGUAUGAAUAUGGGACAGCCAAGCUAUACCCCACCCCAGAUGCCCCCCCAUCCCGCUCAGCUGCGUCAUGGCCCCCCCAUGCAUACCUACAUUCCUGGACACCCUCACCACCCAGCGAUGAUGAUGCAUGGAGGACCACCCCACCCUGGAAUGCCCAUGUCAGCAUCAAGCCCCACAAUGCUUCAUCCCGGCGAGCCGGCAGUGAGCGGACAAGUGAUGGACAUUCAUGCUCAGUAGCUUAAGGGAAAUACGCGUUGUCUGCAGCGACGGUAGAUUUCAAACAUUGUCUUUCUGCAAUGACUAUGGAGUUCUUGGCGUCAACUUUGGACCAAGGGACGUUCCGAUUCUUCACAGGGACCCUGAAAAGCAGGAAAACACCAACCGAAGUCAACUUCUGGGGACAUGCUAAAUACCUAUAUAAGACAUUAAGAGAACAAAGAGUGAAAUAUUGUAAAAUGCUAUUAUACUGUUAUCCAUAUUACGUUGUUUCUUAUAGAUUUUUUAAAAAAAAUGUGAAAUUUUUCCACACUAUGUGUGUUGUUUCCAUAGCUCUUCACUUCCUCCAGAAGCCUCCUUACAUUAAAAAAAAGAAGCCUUACACUUUUCCUGCAAAUGACAGAAAAGGCUUAUUUGCAGGAUUUUUAGAGCAUUGAAAUAACUAUGUCAGGCAGAAGAAUCUUUCUUCUAUCCUAGGAUUUCAGCCAUGCACACUCUCUCUCUCCCCUCCUCUCUCUCUGUCUGUCUUUCUUCCCUUUCUCUCCCUUUCUCCCCGUCUCUCUCCCUCUCUCUCUUUCUAGCCUGGGGCGUGAAUUUGCAUGUCUAAUUCAUUUACUCACCAUAUUUGAAUUGGCCUGAACAGAUGUAAAUCGGGAAGGAUGGGAAAAACUGCAGUCAUCAACAAUGAUUAAUCAGCUGUUGCAGGCAGUGUCUUAAGGAGACUGGUAGGAGGAAGCAUGGAAACGGAAAGGCAGUGUAUUUGAAGCCUAAUUGUCACAUCAGAGCAUCCUUGUCCCCAUGCAGCAACCACCACCUUGUACAUCACUUCCUGUUUUAUGCAGCUCGAAACAUGGACUGAAGAUUUAUUUUUAAUAUGUUGACUUUCUUUCUGGGCAAGACAUCGGUCAUGUGUGCAUUUCCCCCCCCCCCCCCCAUAGUCCCAUCAUGGAGCAUUUAUGUAUACAUUGUAAAUAAAUUUUGUGCAAAAAGGACUGGAAAAAUGAUCUGUAUUAUUGCAAUUUUUUGUAAAAGUAGCAGUUUGGUAUGAGUUGGCAUGCAUACAGAUUUACUAAGUGGGAUAAGCUAAUUAUACUUUUGUUGUGGUUAAACAAAUGCUUGUUGAUAGCCUUUUUCUAUCAAGAAACCAAGGAGCUAAUUAUUAUUAAUAAUAAUCAUUGCACACUGAGUCUUAGAGUUUCUGAUUGAAACAGUUUGGAUUGUAUAAUAACUCAAAGCCCAGUUGUAGUAGUUUGAGUGCAGUAAUGAAAUCUGAAUCUAAAAUAAAAACAAAUUAUUUUUUGUC